rnacentral:lncRNA from 1 species
CUAUGUCUACCCGGACAUAAACAUGUUUUAGCUAUGUAUGAAUUCUCGUCACCUCGUGCGUACGUAGCACCCAUAACUUGUAGAACAUAACAACUACAUCACCUAGGGGAUAGUUUCCCCCUCAUAAGGUUAGACAAGAGACUUACCUUACUCCGAAGUCCUAUAACCGGCUCCAAUGCCUCUCUAACUCCUCAAUUGAAAGACAAAUGGUUUGAAACUAGUCAAACACCAUGCAAAUUGUUCAAAAUAUACUCCAAUGCGUAUAGUUUAACUAUACAUCAUCAACUCUGGUCGAAAAGUCGACAAAUUCAACCCUCGGGCUCACAUGCCCGGAUUUUAAAAAUUCUGGAAGAUAAUUAUUAUCCAUAACACCACUAUCUCAAAAAUACAAUUUAUUCCUAAUUCCAUUUCCAAAAUCAUGGUAAAAAUCCAAAAUAAUCAAUUUUAGGUUUUCCCCUAAAAAUCCCAUAAUUUUCAUAAAUUUUCAUAUAUAAAUUUGUAUAUAACUCAUGUAUUUAACUCACAAAAUGUGGGAAUAGCUUACCUCCUAAUGAAGGACAAAAAUAUCCUCUUUAAGAACCCCAAAAGUCGCCCAACCAAGUGACAAAAUGUGAGAGGAAUGGCCAAGUCUCGAAUUAAAACACUCCACUGUCCAAUGA